AUGACGAAGGAGUUUAGGAGUCUCCUAGGUGAUACCCGUCCCACCCUGACGGUGCUGCCCCCCUCCAUUGAGGAGCUGGACCAGGGCAAGGCCACGCUCACAUGUCUGGCCAACAAGGGCUUCCCCUCAGACUGGAGUCUGGCCUGGAGUCUGAACUGGAAGGUGGACGGCAGCAGCAGCAGCUGGGAUCAGAACAGGAGCCCCGCGGUGCUGCAGAAGGACGGCCUCUACAGCUGGAGCAGCACCCUGAGGCUCACUGCAGACCAGUGGAGGAAGGUGGGCUCUGUGAUCUGUUCGGCCACCCAGGGCUCCCAGACUCCACUGUCAGAGACACUGAGGAGAGACCAGUGUUCCCAGUCCUGA